rnacentral:miRNA from 2 species
AAAGUGCAUCUUUUUAGAGGAU